rnacentral:lncRNA from 1 species
UACCACUUUUCUUUUUCCUUUUUUUGUGUAGAGUAUCAGACUAGAACUUAAGGAUAAAACUUUCAAUGACACAUAAAUUAGUCUGCCACCAUGCAUGCAUAUUCUGACAUGUAUAAGACAUGUAUGAUAAGAUGUGAUUAUAUGAACAUACCAACACUUCUUUCCCUCAAUUGUGUCCUUGAAACAAGACAAGAACAUACCUAAACUUUACCUAGACACAAUGACUAUAUCUAAAUAUAUGAGUAAUGAUUUUAGGAUUUCAUUUACAGGGAAAUGCUACAUCAUACUCAAAUAAACAGAGAAUAAAAAUUGGAAAACUAAAGAUUAUUUCUUGGUUAUCUUUGUGGAAUUAUUUUUCAUACUUCAAGAAUAUCCCCACAAACUACACAAUUCCUGGACAAGAAAGGUGAGUCUUACAGUGAAAGCGGAGACUUGUUUUUCCAAACACUGCACUAAAACUUGCUGGUAUUAUUUUUCUAUGCCUAUGUAUGGUGUCCCAUCUAUUCCAUCUCUUCCUGUGAGUCCAAUAUAACAGUUAGUUGGUACUGUAAAAAAAAUGAAACAGGUAUGUCAGGGUGCUGUCUCAUGCUGAUAAACUUCAGCUUGACAAUACUGCAGGUAACAGAAAUAGGUUUUGCAUUCAAAAGUCAGAGGAUGUAUAACUACAAAGCUCUGUGAUAUUUUGCUCCAUUGCAAGUUGUUUUUUUGAAUGAUGCUGCUGUUGUAUUGAACAAUACAGGCUUGGAAUCAUUGCUGGUCUGUUUAUUGUGUGUCUGCAGUAUUAAUUUUCACAUGUUGAAGCUUUUCUCUAUGCAUCUUGUGCUCAUGCAGAAUUUAAGUCUUUUUUUGGUUUUUAGGCAGGUAAGCCUUAUAAAAUAGCCUCAUGCUUAAAUAUGAAGGCCAAAUCCUAGAAUUGUUUUUCACCUAAAAUCAGUAAUGCAAAACCUGUAGUCCUUAUUCAGUGAAAGAAUUGCUUAUUUGAGUCUGAAUCCAGCUCUGUGUUAGUUAUUUUCCUUCAGUGGAUGUACAUCCCCUCCUUUCUCCCUUCCAAAGGAAAUCUGACAGCUUGUUCCAGAAACUGUGAAAUACUGACAGGUUUCAAAACUAAAGUAAGCCUUUCUGACAAAGUCACUCAAAGUGUAGAUGUAUUUCUAUAGCAUUCUCUGAAACUAGCCAGCUCUGUGCCACAAAAACUGCCUGCAUGAAAUAAAAGCUGCAAUGAGACAUUUCCCGAAGUGCUA